AGGCGCGUAGCUCAGUGGGAGAGCGCUACACUGACACUGUAGAGGUCGCCAGUUCAAUCCUGGCCGCGCCUACCA
rnacentral:tRNA from 1 species